rnacentral:rRNA from 1 species
UACGGGGGGAGCAAGCGUUGUUCGGAUUUACUGGGCGUAAAGGGCGCGUAGGCGGCCAGCGCAAGUCAGUUGUGAAAUCUCCGGGCUUAACUCGGAACGGCCAAUCGAUACUGACGUGCUAGAGUGCAGAAAGGGCAAUCGGAAUUCUUGGUGUAGCGGUGAAAUGCGUAGAUAUCAAGAGGAACACCUGAGGCGAAGGCGGGUUGCUAGGCUGACACUGACGCUGAGUGCGCGAAAGCCAGGGGAGCAAACGGG